UAGGGAAUCUUCCGCAAUGGGCGAAAGCCUGACGGAGCAACGCCGCGUGAGUGAAGAAGGAUUUCGGUUCGUAAAGCUCUGUUGUUAGGGAAGAAUGAUUGUGUAGUAACUAUACACAGUAGAGACGGUACCUAACCAGAAAGCCACGGCUAACUACGUGCCAGCAGCCGCGGUAAUACGUAGGUGGCAAGCGUUGUCCGGAAUUAUUGGGCGUAAAGCGCGCAGGUGGUUUAAUAAGUCUGAUGUGAAAGCCCACGGCUCAACCGUGGAGGGUCAUUGGAAACUGUUAAACUUGAGUGCAGGAGAGAAAAGUGGAAUUCCUAGUGUAGCGGUGAAAUGCGUAGAGAUUAGGAGGAACACCAGUGGCGAAGGCGGCUCUCUGGCUUGUAACUGACGCUGAGGCUCGAAAGCGUGGGGAGCAAACAGGGUUAGAUACCCUGGUAGUCCACGCCGUAAACGAUGAGUGCUAGGUGUUAGACCCUUUCCGGGGUUUAGUGCCGCAGCUAACACAUUAAGCACUCCGCCUGGGGAGUACGACCGCAAGGUUG
rnacentral:rRNA from 1 species